GACGUAGGGCGCGAGCGUUGUCCGGAUUUAUUGGGCGUAAAGGGCUCGUAGGCGGCUUGUUGCGUCUGUCGUGAAAGGCAGUGACUUAAUCAUUGUUUUGCGGUGGAUACGGGCAGGCUUGAGGCAAGUAGGGGAGAUUGGAAUUCUACGUGUAGCGGUGGAAUGCGCAGAUAUGUGGAGGAACACCGGUGGCGAAGGCGGAUCUCUGGGCUUGUUCUGACGCUGAGGAGCGAAAGCGUGGGGAGCGAACAGG
rnacentral:misc_RNA from 1 species